GUCCACGCCGUAAACGAUGAUAACUAGCUGUCAGGGGCCAUGGGCUUUUGGUGGCGCAGCUAACGCAUUAAGUUAUCCGCCUGGGGAGUACGGCCGCAAGGUUAAAACUCAAAGAAAUUGACGGGGGCCUGCACAAGCGGUGGAGCAUGUGGUUUAAUUCGAAGCAACGCGCAGAACCUUACCAGCGUUUGACAUCCUCAUCGCGGUUACCAGAGAUGGUUUCCUUCAGUUCGGCUGGAUGAGUGACAGGUGCUGCAUGGCUGUAGU
rnacentral:rRNA from 1 species